rnacentral:rRNA from 1 species
AGUAAAUGAAGCUGGAAUUACUAGUAAUCGCGGAUCAGCGCGCCGCGGUGAAUACCUUCCCGGGUCUUGUACACACCGCCCGUCACGCCAUGGAAGCCGGUAGUGCCCGAAGUCCGUGACCCAACCGCAAGGAGGGAGCGGCCGAAGGCAAGAUCGGUGACUGGGGCGAAGUCGUAACAAGGUAGCCGUAGGGGAACCUGCGGCUGGAUCACCUCCUUUCUGGA